GUGCCCACGGUGGCACAGGAGCCGCUGGCACCGGCUCUGCCGCGGCUCGGCCGUGCCCGGGGUGGCACAGGGAUGUGGCACAAGGAGAGGAUCUGGCACAAAUAACAGGUAGGAAGGGGCUGCCCGGCUGCUGCCCCCCGCUGCGGUGCGGUCCGGGGGGAGCGCGGGGGCCGUGCCCGCGGCGGGGGGCUCGGGCGGCACCUGCCGCGGGCAGAGCGGGUGUGCCGGGCCGCACCGCCCCCGCGGCAGCAGCCCGCCCGCGGCAGAGCGGGGCUGAGGCUGAGCCGGGUGCUGCUCCGUGCCGCUCGGAGCCCGUCCAGCGCCCGCCGCGCCGGCGAACGUGAGCGACCGUGGCCGCCUUCGGGCUCCUCAGCCGUGAGCACAGACCGCUCAAGCGUCUGCCCGCAGGACCCGCGCCACGAGAGAUCGUGCCAGGUCCUGCUGGGAACCUGCAUCCAGUGCAAGAGACCCCGUUAUUAUACUUACAUGUGGCGAACUGGGAACUGUUCGCACCCGAGCUCGACGCGCUGGGCGGCCUCACAACGGGACACUCGCCUGGGACUCGUCAGACGCUCCCCACGGGGCGCCUGGGGAAAACAGAAGGGCCUACACCAAUUCAGUGAAAAAAUUAAAAG